GAGAGAAAGGGGAAAGCUAAGGCGAGCGUGGGUCGUAAGCGGAGAGAGAGAGAUGGAAGGUUGGGACCCAAAUACGAAGUCGACGCUGACACAGAUCCCCUUGCUAACGACAAAGGCGGGUCCUAGAGACGGAGCGGCAUGGACGCAGAGGCUGAAGGAAGAGUACAAAGCUCUCAUAGCCUACACUCAGAUGAACAAAUCCAACGACAACGAUUGGUUUCGUAUCUCCGCCGCAAAUCCCGAAGGCACUCGUUGGACCGGCAAAUGCUGGUACGUCUACAACCUCCUCAAGUAUGAAUUCGACCUCCAAUUCGAUAUUCCUGUCACUUACCCUUCCACCGCACCCGAACUUGAACUCCCUCAAUUGGACGGCAAGACCCAGAAGAUGUAUAGGGGUGGAAAGAUCUGCUUGACCGUGCACUUCAAGCCUCUUUGGGCCAAAAACUGCCCCAGAUUUGGUAUAGCACAUGCACUUUGCUUAGGCCUUGCCCCGUGGCUUGCUGCGGAGAUACCCAUUCUUGUGGAUUCUGGUAUGAUCAAGCACAAAGAUGAUGCAACCACAUCAACUGAAUCUUAGUUAUCCUAUGUCUCACCGAAGCUAUGCAACAUGGCAAAUGAAUCAGUGAUUCUCAUCUGAACUUGAUUUUCAAUCAAAUUAUCAGCUAUUGCCUUUUAUACAUCGAUAAUGAUGAAUUUGUUGGCUAAUAAUGGUUUUUGUUCUCGUUCGUUUGCCUUUCUGUUUGUCUUCAAUCGUGUGUAGGGUAGUUCAUAACAGCUAAAACUGCCUUUAUGUGGAAUAAACAUUCUUAAACGGGAACGAUUUCUUCGGCUAAAGUGAAACAGUUUGUGACAAUAAAAAAAACUAGCCAGUGUAUCCCUUUUGAAGGGUAAAAGUUCUCAGGAAAACAAAAAGCAGGGACAAUAGCAUGCCGAACUUCUCAAUCAUCGAAGGAGCACAAAGGAGCGAAUUGCAACAAUACGGAUUGAUGGACCAAAGGGUCAAUUUCAAAGGGACAGUCUUGUAGUCAACCCAACAAAAAACUAUGAAAUAUUCUCACGUGAAAAUGAUUAAUGAGGCACUUCAUACUUUGAAAUAUUCUGAACAUUGUUUUUUUGUUAAAACCGAUCUUCUCUUCUCAGAAAAUAGGACCAGCAGAGACAAUCUCUUCAGUCAACUUCUGAUCUUUCCCUAUCUUAUAGGUCAUGAAUCCAUCAAAGUUCUUCUUGAAUAGACUUGCCAGUUUCAAGAGCGUAUCUUGGUAGGCCUUUUUGUCAGACCACUGCAAUUUAAGGCAUACUUAACAUCAGGCACUUCAUACCCAAUUUUGACACUUGAUAUGAGAAAAGUAGUGGCCAGAAAAAAUGUAUACGUUGAGCAUCAACUUACAGUAUUCACGGGGUCCAAGAUUUCCGAAGGAACUCCUCCUACUGCUAUUGGGAUCUCAAACCCAAACACUUCAGUCUUGGCGUACUUUUCAUUCAAAAGACUCCCGGAGUGAAUAGCAUCGAUGAUUUUCCUAGUAUACGCUAGCUUGAUCCGAUUGCCCAGUCCAUAACUGUCAAUUUAUAGGGAAGAAGAAUUAGUUUUAGCAAGGAGAAAACUGCCAUGUAAAUGCUUUGUCUUCGAGUCCACACCUUCCUCCUGACCAGCCAGUAUUGACAAGCCAUCCAGUAGCUCCGUGCUUCUGCAUCCUUUCAGCCAGCAUUGCUGCAUAUUUGGUAGGGUGCAUCAUUAUGAAUGCUGCCCCGAAACAAGCAGAGAAUGUAGCCUGGGGCUCUUUUAUACCAUCCUCUGUCCCAGCAACCAAAGCUGUGUAGCCACUGAUGAAAUGGUACAUGGUUUGGGCCAAGCUCAGCUUGCUUACUGGGGGAAGUACCCCAAAUGCAUCACAAGCUAGAAGGAUGACAUUCUUUGCAUGGGGAGCAACACAUGGUAUCCUUGCAUUGGGUAUGUACUCAAUAGGAUAUGCUGCACGAGUGUUCUCUGAAAAACCAAAAGCUCCAAGCUAUUAUUCAACACGAAUCCAAAAAAUAGUAAUAUAACCAAUGAUUUGAAUCUCUGUUAUUUCAUAAUUCAUAGCAAUCCUGUCAGUGUUAAUAUUUUGUGCAAUUUUAAUGCAUAAAGUUUUAUGCCAACAACAGCAUACUUGCGAAAGAUGUGUGAUUCACCCCGACCACUCAACUUCCUUAUUGAUAAAACGAUAAGUGAUUUUUCACAAAGCAUUAGUACUGAGUCCAUCUGUAAUCUCACUUUGUAUAGGAUUCGGCUUUACCCUUUUGACAUCCACGAACAUAACCUCCUUGACCACAUUUAUUUCAUUAUACUUACCGGUUACAGAUUUGUCUGAGUAAUCUACAUCUCGAGUAUGCUCAUCGAAAACAACAUUUUCGAGUACUGCAAACAGAAGCAGGUAAAAUAAUUAUCGGUCAGGUUGGGUGGCGCCAUAGAGACUGUAUUUAAGAGCAACUCUUUAGUCGAAUAUGAGAUUGUUACCUGUCCCAAAUUUGAUGGCAUUCCAGAUGUCCGGUUCCUUAUCCUUUGAAAGAUCAACACACUUUGCAUAGCAACCCCCUUCAAUAUUUGACACCCCAUUUUCACUCCAGCAAUGUUCAUCAUCUCCAAUUAAAUACCGGUUAUGGUCGGUAGAAAGAGUAGUCUUUCCAGUACCUAUGAGGAUCACAGCAUCAAAGGGAUUAAUGAAAACUCAACAGGAUACAAACUUGAUUUUCAAGUAAUGACUCCCUUAUUGAAGGAACUCGUAUAUCUGCACCUGAUAAUCCAAAAAAGAGAGCAACAUCGCCAUCUUUGCCCAUAUUGCACCCAGAAUGUAGGGAGAGAAUAUUGCGCUUGGGCAUGAGGUAGUGCAUUACGCUAAAGAGACCUUUCUUCAUUUCCCCAGCAUAUUGCGUGCCAAGGAUCACCAUUUCUUUCCUUGCUAUGUUGAUGUCUAUGCUAGUAGAUGAAGUCAUGUAGUGCGUGUAACGAUUACAAGGGAACUGUCCUGCAUUGUAUAUAGUAAAGUCUGGAGUUCCAAAUUCCUCUAGCUCUUCAGGAGUGGGUCGGAUGCACCUGUCAAAAUUUUCUUCUUAUAGGCAUGCAUACUUGAGUAUUUGACUGUUCUAGCAUACUUAAUGCCUAUCAAACUUUGUUCUUAAGAUUGUAAAGAAUUAUGUGGUAAUGUUCAAAGAUUUAUUUCUAUGGAUGC